rnacentral:rRNA from 1 species
GUGAACGCUGGCGGUAGGCCUAACCCAUGCAAGUCGCACGGCAGCACAGUAAGAGCUUGCUCUUACGGGUAGCGAGUGGCGGACGGGUGAGGAAUACAUCGGAAUCUACUUUUUCGUGGGGGAUAACGUAGGGAAACUUACGCUAAUACCGCAUACGACCUACGGGUGAAAGCAGGGGAUCUUCGGACCUUGCGCGAUUGAAUGAGCCGAUGUCGGAUUAGCUAGUUGGCGGGGUAAAGGCCCACCAAGGCGACGAUCCGUAGCUGGUCUGAGAGGAUGAUCAGCCACACUGGAACUGAGACACGGUCCAGACUCCUACGGGAGGCAGCAGUGGGGAAUAUUGGACAAUGGGCGCAAGCCUGAUCCAGCCAUACCGCGUGGGUGAAGAAGGCCUUCGGGUUGUAAAGCCCUUUUGUUGGGAAAGAAAAGCAGCAGGUUAAUACCCCGCUGUUCUGACGGUACCCAAAGAAUAAGCACCGGCUAACUUCGUG